UACGAAGGGGGCUAGCGUUGUUCGGAAUUACUGGGCGUAAAGCGCGCGCAGGCGGUCUUCCAAGUCAGUGGUGAAAGCCCGGAGCUCAACUCCGGAACUGCCAUUGAAACUGUUAGACUUGAGGAUGAGAGAGGUGAGUGGAAUUCCCAGUGUAGAGGUGAAAUUCGUAGAUAUUGGGAAGAACACCGGUGGCGAAGGCGGCUCACUGGCUCAUACUGACGCUCAGGCGCGAUAGCGUGGGGAUCAAACAGG
rnacentral:rRNA from 1 species